rnacentral:rRNA from 1 species
GGAAGUAAAAGUCGUAACAAGGUCUCCGUUGGUGAACCAGCGGAGGGAUCAUUACCGAGUUUACAACUCCCAAACCCAAUGUGAACGUUACCAAACUGUUGCCUCGGCGGGGUCACGCCCCGGGUGCGUAAAAGCCCCGGAACCAGGCGCCCGCCGGAGGAACCAACCAAACUCUUUCUGUAGUCCCCUCGCGGACGUAUUUCUUACAGCUCUGAGCAAAAAUUCAAAAUGAAUCAAAACUUUCAACAACGGAUCUCUUGGUUCUGGCAUCGAUGAAGAACGCAGCGAAAUGCGAUAAGUAAUGUGAAUUGCAGAAUUCAGUGAAUCAUCGAAUCUUUGAACGCACAUUGCGCCCGCCAGUAUUCUGGCGGGCAUGCCUGUCCGAGCGUCAUUUCAACCCUCGAACCCCUCCGGGGGAUCGGCGUUGGGGAUCGGGACCCCUCACCGGGUGCCGGCCCUGAAAUAGCGUGGCGGUCUCGCCGCAGCCUCUCCUGCGCAGUAGUUUGCACAACUCGCACCGGGAGCGCGGCGCGUCCACGUCCGUAAAACACCCAACUUCUGAAAUGUUGACCUCGGAUCAGGUAGGAAUACCCGCUGAACUUAAGCAUAUCAAUAAGCGGAGGA